CAGGACUCUGUCCUUCUGCUGAGUGUCUCCAUCAGGACUCUGUCCUUCUGCUGAGUGUCUCCAUCAGGACCCUCUGUCUGCUGAGUGUCUCCAUCAGGAGCCCGACACGCUGAUCAGAAAAUCUACUGUGGUUAAUAAGAAGAUGGACAUAACAGCCUGAUAAAGACCCUCUGGAGAAUUCCCUCUGCUGGGCCAAGUUCCAAAAAUGUAGAGACAGACCCUGUAUUGUUUCUUUCAGAACCUGCUGUGGUGGAGUUUACAGACUGACCCUCUGUAAGUGCAUCUCUCCAAUCAAGUGUUCACCUUUCAUGUUCACAUCACACAGUCACUGUCAGGACUUACAAUGUUCUUCACAAACCUGAACUCCAACUCCUUACAAGAAUAAAGGUGUAAUGGGGUGUUUAAUACACACUGGUGUCAUUU